AACAAACGCUGGCGGCGUGCCUAAUACAUGCAAGUCGAACGGGGAAAGCUUUCGGGUGAGUACUAGUGGCGCACGGGUGAGUAACGCGUGGAUAAUCUGCCUUAGAGUGGGGGAUAACUAGUCGAAAGAUUAGCUAAUACCGCAUAAGACCACAGGAACCGAGGUUCUAGAGGUCAAAGGUUUUUCGCUCUAAGAUGAGUCCGCGUAAGAUUAGCUAGUUGGUGAGGUAACGGCUCACCAAGGCAACAAUCUUUAACUGGUCUGAGAGGAUGAUCGGUCACACUGGAACUGAGACCCGGUCCAGACUCCUACGGGAGGCAGCAGUAGGGAAUAUUGCACAAUGGAGGAAACUCUGAUGCAGCGACGCCGCGUGAGUGAUGAAGGCCUUCGGGUCGUAAAGCUCUGUCGCAGGGGAAUAACACAAUGAAUGUACCCUGUAAGAAAGGAUCGGCUAACUUCGUGCCAGCAGCCGCCGUAAUAC
rnacentral:rRNA from 1 species